UUGAAGAGUUUGAUCAUGGCUCAGAUUGAACGCUGGCGGCAGGCCUAACACAUGCAAGUCGAGCGGUAACAGAAAGUAGCUUGCUACUUUGCUGACGAGCGGCGGACGGGUGAGUAAUGCUUGGGAACAUGCCUUGAGGUGGGGGACAACAGUUGGAAACGACUGCUAAUACCGCAUAAUGUCUACGGACCAAAGGGGGCUUCGGCUCUCGCCUUUAGAUUGGCCCAAGUGGGAUUAGCUAGUUGGUGAGGUAAUGGCUCACCAAGGCAACGAUCCCUAGCUGGUUUGAGAGGAUGAUCAGCCACACUGGAACUGAGACACGGUCCAGACUCCUACGGGAGGCAGCAGUGGGGAAUAUUGGACAAUGGGCGAAAGCCUGAUCCAGCAAUGCCGCGUGAGUGAUGAAGGCCUUAGGGUUGUAAAGCUCUUUUACCAGGGAUGAUAAUGACAGUACCUGGAGAAUAAGCUCCGGCUAACUCCGUGCCAGCAGCCGCGGUAAUACGGAG
rnacentral:rRNA from 1 species